rnacentral:rRNA from 1 species
AUUGAACGCUGGCGGCAUGCCUUACACAUGCAAGUCGUACGGUAACAGGUCUUCGGAUGCUGACGAGUGGCGAACGGGUGAGUAAUACAUCGGAACGUGCCUAGUAGUGGGGGAUAACUACUCGAAAGAGUGGCUAAUACCGCAUGAGAUCUACGGAUGGAAGCAGGGGAUCGCAAGACCUUGUGCUACUAGAGCGGCCGAUGGCAGAUUAGGUAGUUGGUGGGAUAAAAGCUUACCAAGCCGACGAUCUGUAGCUGGUCUGAGAGGACGAUCAGCCACACUGGGACUGAGACACGGCCCAGACUCCUACGGGAGGCAGCAGUGGGGAAUUUUGGACAGUGGGCGAAAGCCUGAUCCAGCAAUGCCGCGUGCAGGAUGAAGGCCUUCGGGUUGUAAACUGCUUUUGUACGGAACGAAAAGCCCCGGGUUAAUACCCUGGGGUCAUGACGGUACCGUAAGAAUAAGCACCGGCUAACUACGUGCCAGCAGCCGCCGUAA